GCAAGUCGAGCGGUAACAGAAAGUAGCUUGCUACUUUGCUGACGAGCGGCGGACGGGUGAGUAAUGCUUGGGAAUAUGCCAUUUGGUGGGGGACAACAGUUGGCAACGACUGCUAAUACCGCAUAAUGUCUACGGACCAAAGUGGGGGACCUUCGGGCCUCACGCCGAAAGAUAAGCCCAAGUGGGAUUAGCUAGUUGGUGAGGUAAUGGCUUACCAAGGCAACGAUCCCUAGCUGGUUUGAGAGGAUGAUC
rnacentral:rRNA from 1 species